AAAAACACAGAAGAAGAAAAGUUUGAACAACGCAGCAAGGCGGGAAGCAGCAGACAGUAGGGUUGCAGAAACUACCUACGCAGCAGCAAUCAGGCUCACUGGACUUACUUUUCAGAUCAGUUUAUGCCUUUGCAUCUUGCUGUUUCAGUUUCAAGAAGUUAAGGAAGAUAACUGGAGAUGUGAUAACGAUACCAGAAGACUGAGAAGAAACUGCCCCUCAUUAGAAAGAUGAUGGAGACCACAUUUCCCCUACGCCGACAGACCAUAGUGAUGUCCUGCCCACCAGUGAACGACCUCAUGGACCUCUGGCCUGCUCUCAAAAUAGAGUCUGAGUUGUAUGCAGAGUUCCAGCGGAUUACAAAUCAGAACCUGCCCAACC